GACGAACGCUGGCGGCGUGCUUAACACAUGCAAGUCGAACGAUGAAGCUGGAGCUUGCUCCAGUGGAUUAGUGGCGAACGGGUGAGUAACACGUGAGCAAUCUGCCCUUGACUCUGGGAUAACUGCGGGAAACUGUAGCUAAUACCGGAUACGACACCUUGGGGCAUCCCGGGGUGUGGAAAGAAUUUCGGUCAAGGAUGAGCUCGCGGCCUAUCAGCUUGUUGGUGAGGUAAAGGCUCACCAAGGCGACGACGGGUAGCCGGCCUGAGAGGGUGACCGGCCACACUGGAACUGAGACACGGUCCAGAAUCCUACGGGAGGCAGCAGUGGGGAAUAUUGCACAAUGGGCGAAAGCCUGAUGCAGCAACGCCGCGUGAGGGAUGACGGCCUUCGGGUUGUAAACCACUUUUAGCAGGGAAGAAGCGAAAGUGACGGUACCUGCAGAAAAAGCACCGGCUAACUACGUGCCAGCAGCCGCAGUAA
rnacentral:rRNA from 1 species